rnacentral:ncRNA from 1 species
CCGACAAGGGUAAACCCUGGGUAACCAGGGGGCACAAAGCCCAGGAUCCUUUUAUAGAAAGGACAGCCGGGUUGCCGAA